rnacentral:lncRNA from 1 species
CUAGUUUACAGAGAGUUUUUUAGCAUGAAGCAUUGUUGAAUUUUGUCAAAGGUCCUUUCUGCAUCUAUUGAAAUAAUCAUGUGGUUUUUGUCUUUGUUUCUGUUUAUGUGAUGGAUUAUAUUUAUUGAUUUGCGUAUGUUGAACCAGCCUUGCAUCCCAAGGAUGAAGCCAACUUGAUCUUGCUGGAUCCUUUAAAUUUUGAAGAGCUUCUGGCUCAUUCUCUAUGAUGUAUUUUGGAUAUUUGUCCCCUCCAAAUGUCAUAUUGAAAUGUGUCCUCCAAUUUUGGAGGUGGAUCUAGUGGGAGGUAUUUGUUUCAUGCGUUGGAUCCUUCAUGAAUGGCUUGGUGUACUCCUCAUUGUAAAGAGUGAGUUCUUGCUCUGUUAAGUUCACAUGGGAGCUGGCUGUUUAAAAUUUAAAAAUUAAUUAAAUUUAAAUUAUCUUGUUCUCUCUCCCUUCAUGUGACAUGCCAGCUCCCUCUCUGCCUUCUUCGAUAAGUAAAAGCUUUUUGAAGUCUCACCAGAGGCCAAGCAGAUGAUGGUGCCAGGCUUGUACAACCUGCAGAACCAUGAACUCAAUUUUCUUCAUAAGUUAUUCAGCCUCAGGGCUUUUCAUGCUAUCUCACUGAAGCAUCUUGAAUAUAAGACGUAUGAAAGACAUAAUAAGAAGAGAUAAGUAAGAAUUAACUGUUAAUAGUCUUUUCAAGAAUUAAUGGUGCAAGACAGUGAAUAAAUCUGUUCAUAUUAAUUAAAAAAUGCUACCAUUAUGGCAAACAUUUUCAUUAUUUUUAAUGUAAAGAGAGAAUUACUCUAGUAAAUUCUUUAAAUUUAAUUCCAAUUUUAGAUAUAUAAAGAAUGUUAUUUGCAUGGCAUACAACAAGAUAGAAACAUCUGGUGUUUAUGCAUUUUCUGCUGAAUCACAGAUGACUAAUUAUUUUCCAUGUGUCAGGAAAAAAAAUUGAUUAAUCACCCAUUCUUGUUAGCCUAAUGUUCUGCAACUUAGAUCUAUUCUGUUAAGUCAUUAGCCUUCUCUGUACAAUCU